UACGUAGGUGGCGAGCGUUGUCCGGAUUUACUGGGCGUAAAGAGCGCGCAGGCGGUCGUUCAAGUCGCGUGUGAAGGCCCCCGGCUCAACUGGGGAGGGUCACGCGAUACUGAUCGACUCGAAGGCAGGAGAGGGAAGUGGAAUUCCCGGUGUAGUGGUGAAAUGCGUAGAUAUCGGGAGGAACACCAGUGGCGAAGGCGACUUCCUGGCCUGUUCUUGACGCUGAGGCGCGAAAGCUAGGGGAGCAAACGGG
rnacentral:rRNA from 1 species